GAUGAAGAACGCAGCGAAAUGCGAUACGUAAUGUGAAUUGCAGAAUUCAGUGAAUCAUCGAAUCUUUGAACGCAUAUUGCGCUCUCUGGUAUUCCGGAGAGCAUGCUUGUUUGAGUAUCAGUAAACACCUCAACUUCCAUAUCUUUUUUGAAAUGGGAGUUGGACUUGAGUGAUCCCAACGCUUUUCCUCACCGAAAAGUGGCGGGUUACUUGAAAUGCAGGUGCAGCUGGACUUUUCUCUGAGCUAUAAGCAUAUCUAUUUAGUCUGCCUAAAAAACAGAUUAUUACCUUUGCUGCAGCUAACAUAAAGGAGAUUAGUUCUUGUGCUGACUGAUGCAGGAUUCACAAAGACGGCUUCGGCCGACUUUGUAAACUCGAUCUCAAAUCAAGUAAGACUACCCGCUGAACUUAAGCAUAUCAAUAAGCGGAAGA
rnacentral:misc_RNA from 1 species